rnacentral:rRNA from 1 species
CGGUAGGGGGACAACAGUCCGAAAGGAUUGCUAAUACCCCGUAAGACGACGAGCUCUUCGGAGCAUGUCGUGAAAGAUGGCCUCUAUUUAUAAGCUAUCGCCGAAGGAUGAGUCCGCGUCCCAUCAGCUAGUUGGCGAGGUAAUGGCUCACCAAGGCGAAGACGGGUAGCUGGUCUGAGAGGAUGAUCAGCCACACUGGAACUGAGACACGGUCCAG